GUAUUCGGAUUCGUAUCAAUCUGUGUUGAGGUGGAUUGGAGUGAAACUUGAACUAAAUUACAUCCUAAUCCACUCCAACACAUGUGAAUUGAGGUGAAUCCGACA
rnacentral:pre_miRNA from 1 species